UACGGAGGGGGCUAGCGUUGUUCGGAAUUACUGGGCGUAAAGCGCACGUAGGCGGCUUUGCAAGUCAGAGGUGAAAGCCCGGAGCUCAACUCCGGAAUUGCCUUUAAGACUGCAUCGCUAGAACGUCGGAGAGGUGAGUGGAAUUCCGAGUGUAGAGGUGAAAUUCGUAGAUAUUCGGAAGAACACCAGUGGCGAAGGCGGCUCACUGGCUCAUACUGGACGCUGAGGUGCGAAAGCGUGGGGAGCAAACAGG
rnacentral:rRNA from 1 species